rnacentral:rRNA from 1 species
CUACGGGGCGCAGCAGUGGGGAAUAUUGCACAAUGGGGGAAACCCUGAUGCAGCAACGCCGCGUGGAGGAUGACACAUUUCGGUGCGUAAACUCCUUUUAUUAGGGAAGAUAAUGACGGUACCUAAUGAAUAAGCACCGGCUAACUCCGUGCCAGCAGCCGCGGUAAUACGGAGGGUGCAAGCGUUACUCGGAAUCACUGGGCGUAAAGCGCGCGCAGGCGGGUUUGUAAGUUGGAAGUGAAAUCCACUGGCUUAACCAGUGAACUGCUUCCAAAACUACUUACCUAGAGUCUGGGAGGGGAAGAUGGAAUUAGUUGUGUAGGGGUAAAAUCCGUAGAGAUAACUAGGAAUACCAAAAGCGAAGGCGAUCUUCUGGAACAGUACUGACGCUGAGGCGCGAAAGCGUGGGGAGCAAACAGGAUUAGAUACCCUUGUAGUC